AACGAACGCUGGCGGCAUGCCUAACACAUGCAAGUCGAACGAGACCUUCGGGUCUAGUGGCGCACGGGUGCGUAACGCGUGGGAAUCUGCCCUUGGGUUCGGAAUAACAGUAAGAAAUGACUGCUAAUACCGGAUGAUGUCUUCGGACCAAAGAUCUAUCGCCGAAGGAGGAGCCCGCGUCGGAUUAGCUAGUUGGUGAGGUAAAGGCUCACCAAGGCGACGAUCCGUAGCUGGUCUGAGAGGAUGAUCAGCCACACUGGGACUGAGACACGGCCCAGACUCCUACGGGAGGCAGCAGUGGGGAAUAUUGGACAAUGGGCGAAAGCCUGAUCCAGCAAUGCCGCGUGAGUGAUGAAGGCCUUAGGGUUGUAAAGCUCUUUUACCCGGGAUGAUAAUGACAGUACCGGGAGAAUAAGCCCCGGCUAACUCCGUGCCAGCAGCCGCCGUAA
rnacentral:rRNA from 1 species